GAGCCACCGCACCCGGCCAAGUUUUUUCUUUUUUUAUAUGUAAUAAGUUGGAUAAAGUGUUUAUAAAAAGUUAAAAGUAGGCCCUCAAGCAGGUAAAGUAGGCUUGCUUCUUUUCAGAGCUAUCCAUGCUGAUUCCAGGCAUAGAGAAUGCCUCCUUUGCCCUAUUCAUUAAAGGGCUUCACCCUGAAGUCAGUAAUCUAAUAGAGAAACAAGCUAAGUUGAAAAGACCCUGUGAUGGUUAAUAUUAGCUGUCAACCUGAUUGGAUUGAAGGAUGGUAAAGUAUUGUUCUUGGGUGUGUUGUGAGGGUGUUGCCAGAGGAAAUUGACAUUGGAGUCAGUGGACUGAGAGAGGAAGACCCACCCUCAGUGUGGGUGGGCACCAUCCGAUUGGCUGACAGUGUGGCUGGAACAAAGCAGGUGGAGGAGGGUGGGAGAAGCUGGCUUGCUGAGUCUUCUGGCUUUUGUAGCCACCCAGUGAGUUCACCUAGCCGGCUGCCUAGAUGGAGCGGAUUUAUCAGGACAGGGGAAUUGCAAUGCAGAACGAGUAAUUUACACAGAGCUACCUGUGCGGGCGACUGGAGUUUUAUUAUUACUCAAAUUAGACAUCCCAAGAAUUUGCAGAUCAGAGUUUUUAAAGAUAAUUUGGCGGCUCAGGAAGUAGGAGUGCUGAUUGAUCUGGCUGGAGAUGGAAUCACAGGGAGGUCAAAGUGAGGUUUCCUUGCUGUCUUCUGUUCCUGGGUACAAUGGCAGAACUGGCUGAGCCAGAUAGCCGGUCUGUGUGGUAUCAGCUGAUCCAUAGAGUACAGGGUCUUGCAGAAUAAAUACCUCAAGCACUGAUCUUCGGAUUACAAUGGUGAUGUUAUCCCCAGGAGCAAUUUCGGGAGGUUUGGACAGCCAGAGGCUGGAUGACCUUUAAAUCAAAAUUUCUUUUUUUUUUUUUCAAAGAAGCCCCAUUUUAUUACAGAGAGCAUACAAAGCCGUUUCCU
rnacentral:lncRNA from 1 species